rnacentral:misc_RNA from 1 species
GCAAACUUGGUCAUUUAGAGGAAGUAAAAGUCGUAACAAGGUAACCGUAGGUGAACCUGCGGUUGGAUCAUUAUAGUAAUUUUUUGAGUUGUGUCCUGUCACACAAGACAGUUGAUACGCUCAAUUUACACCUGUGCACUUUAUGUAUCUUGGGGUUGAACAAUGUUUUACCCCAACAAGAGUAAAAACCCCUAUUGAUUUAGUCUGAUUUGGUUAUUUAAAAUUUUAAACAACUUUUGACAACGGAUCUCUAGGCUCUCGCAUCGAUGAAGAACGCAGC